rnacentral:tRNA from 1 species
GGUCCCAUUGGCUGAAUGGUAUACGAGCUUGCCUGGCUUGUAAUCAGAAGGUCCUGGGUUCGAAACCCAGUGGGUGCA